GACGAACGCUGGCGGCGUGCUUAACACAUGCAAGUCGAACGAGUGGCGAACGGGUGAGUAAUACGGGAGUAACCUGCCCUCUUUUUGGGAUAAGCCUUGGAAAAGGGGUCAAAUACCGGAUAAAGGGGGAUGGGCUCGGGGCCUAUCAGCUUGUUGGUGGGGUGAUGGGCUACUAAGGCGGUGACGGGUAGCCGGCCUGAGAGGGUGAACGGCGGCUGUGGGACUGAGAUACAGCCCAUACUACUACGGGGGGCAGCAGUGGCGGAUAUUGCCCAAAGGGCGAAAGCCUGAUGCAGCGACACCGCAUGGGGGCUGAAGGCCUUCGGGUUGUAGACUUCUUUCGCUAUCGGGGUAGGUGGCGAAGAAGCGCCGGCUAACUCCGUGCCAGCAGCCGCGGUAAUAC
rnacentral:rRNA from 1 species